AAAGUGCAUCUAAAUUUACAUUCUACCUUCUAGCUGUUGUGCUAGAUUCAUUUCUAACAGGGAAUGAGGGGCUGCUGUAGCAGACACACAGUAGUUACUGACAGAGAAAAAUGUGCAAUUAAAAUCAGAAAUAAUUUUGAACAUCUGUUCAUUCAGCAAACCAGUAUUGAAUAUCUCUUACAUAGAGCAUCCUGUGCACUGGUCAGCCUGGGCUCUGCAGCUUGGCUCGUCAUGGUCUCCUUGUCCUGGUGUAAGCCAAGUCUGGCUUCAAACAGAAUUUGAAUGAUGGAUUUUUUUUUUAAUUGAAAACAUCUGUGUCUUGUUGUCAUACUGUAUUUGGAUUUGACCCAUUUCUAAGUUCUUGAUUUCUAUUAUUCUUUCUGCUGGUGCCUAUUGCUCCCAUCAUUGUUUAGAUUUUCUCUAAUGUUGCAUAUCAUCGAGACUCCUCUGUCUGUAUCCUGGAUGGGUACUGCAUUGUUUCUUGGGCUCUUUCAUGCUGUUUUACUUGCCCUGGUGUUUCCCUUCUGCCCUUCAUUUCAAGAUCAGGCAUUUGGCCUCCAUACUCAUCCCAUGACCCUUUGCUGCAUGGACACUUACACCUGCUGUAUUCCUCUGAGGUUCCCUAACUGCUAGGCCCAACAUCUCUUAGAAUUUUCAAUAUUGCUGCUACCCAAGGCAAAGUAAUAUAUCCCUUUAAAAAAAAGUGAAGUAUAGUUAAUUUACAAUGUUGUGUUAGUUUCAAGUGUACAGCACAGUGAUUCAGACACACAGACACACAUAUGCACACACACACAUCUUUUUCAGAUUCUUUUCCAUAAUAGCACAUCCUUUUCUUGGGGAAUAUAAACCAUGGUCUGGAAGGCCUCUGACAGACAGUAUUGAGGUAUGCUUAGAAAUACAUGACCAAAAGUUCAUUUUCAGUCUGAGAUGCCUGGAAGUUGAAGCUGAAUUACUGAGAAACUUUUUGACUCUAAAACAAUGAAUUAGAAUGAGUUGAUGGAAGAAGAGUUAAAUGUUAGUGAGGAAGUCACUGAAUCAUACCAAAGACUUUUAAACUUUGCCCCCAAAUAUCACUUUAAAAAUAUCACUUUAAUAAUAUAACUCUUGAAAUUUUUUUUAAUUUAUUUUUUUCCCACUGUACAGCAAGGGGAUCAAGUUAUCCUUACAUGUAUACAUUUUUCCCCCCACCCUUUGUUCUGUUGCAGUAUGAGUAUCUAGACAUAGUUCUCAAUGCUGCCCAGCAGGAUCUCCUUGUAAAUCUAUUCUAAAUUGUGUCUGAUAACCCCAAGCUCCUAAUCCCUCCCCCUCCCUCCCCCUCCCAUCAGGCAGCCACAAGUCUAUUCUCCAAGUCCAUGACUCUCUUUUCUGUGUUGUUGAUAUUUACAUUGUUUGGUAAAUAUAUUUCACUGUGCUCUCACCUGGUGGCAUCCCGUCUACCUACGUUUCUGUAUCAACUUUUUGAAAGGUGAGUGACUCCUUGAAAGUUUACUCUUUAAAACUGAGGUGGCUUCACAUGCCAAGUACAAGAAAUCAUCAGAGACCUAUAUAGAGAUCAAUUUUUUACUCUUAACCUGGUGGUUCCCAAACUUCCCUAUGCAUUAGUAUCACCAGGGGACCUCACAGACAUCCUAGUCAGACCCUAAACCAAUUAAACAAGAAUAUCCUUGGGGCUGGGAGGCAGACAUUCAUAUGAUGAUUACUGUUAAUACUUAAGCAUGCAUUGUAAUCACCUUGAGGGCUUGUUAAAAUACAGAUUGUAGGGUCUCACCCUCGGAGCUUCUAAUUUGGUAGGUUUGGGGUGAGGCCCAGAGAUGCGCAUUUCUGACAAGUUCCCAGAUGAUAUUGAUGCUGAUCUGGGGGUCACCCUUUCAGGAUCACUGGGCUACUCUCUAUACAUCAAAAGCAAUGGCCCUUAUUAUUUAUAAUCUUGUGAUCAGAAGCUGAUGAAUGAUCCCUUUCUUGAAUCGAUGGCUGUCCUGAUAACCCUUUCCAUGCUGAAUCUUUUUGCCAAAAAAUGAUUUGUCAUACCUCUAUAGAAUAUAGAAUGUAUUCGAGAGCUGUAAUGCAGUAGCAAAUGUACAUAACCUUUUAAAAGAAAAAAAAUUACAUUCCAAAACUCAAACUUGAGCUUGCCUAUCUCCUGUGCAUCUCCUGUACAUUCCCCCCAGAAAGGAGAGAUCUGUCAAGCAACAGUAUCACAGAAACUGGUGUUUCUACCUUUGCUUACUGCCCUGCAGAUAACAAUGAUGGGUUUGUGCUGAGGAGAAUGCUCCUGUUUUCUCAAUCUAAAUGUCUUGCUGUGUUUUCAGGAAACUUGACAGAGCCCUUUGGGGGAGGAGGUGGGUAUGAGGCUGAGUUGUCCCUCCGUGGAAGUUGUUUUCCUCUCUCAGUGGUUGUGUUUGGAGGUAGACAUCCCUCAGGGUCCAACGGAAGUUUAACCACAAUAAUUUAGUUCCGGUGCCUGACUAUGUGGGCGAUGGAUUCCAGUUCAGCUGGACCCUGCUCCUUCCUGUUUCUAUUUUGGUACUUCUUGUAAACAGUCUAGAUCAGAUCAAUGGUAUCCAUCUUCUAAUAACAGCCUGUUGGAGAUAGAAACAAUCCAAAAAUUUGUGUCCUUUCUCCCACAGGCCAGAGCUAGAUUCUCCAGGGCUGUUGCCCUUCGUGGGUCUAAACCAAAAGAGUUUCUGAAACCAAUCAGCUGCUCAGGCAAGUUGACAGUUUUUGAUGAAUUGUCUCUACUGAUUAGGGAUUUGCAGAGUUGAGGGGUUCCUGGCUCUCCUUCAUGCUUUAAGGCACACAUCACUAUGGUGUUUAACCUACUUGGAGCUUAUCUUUCAGGCCCCAGGGGAAACAGUGAGUGGGAAAGUCAGUGGUUGAGGGAGAUGGCUGAGUUCUCUGGCCCCUGCUCAAGGCUGGUUAAUCCUGACUGGUUUGCCCAGCACUUUCUUGCUCUCAUCCACCAAGGAAGAAGGUAGGGGUCUGCAAGGCUCACCAAUGUGCAGAGCCUGUGGAGUUUCUGAAAAAGUAGGCAGAGGGGACUCACUAGGACAGACUACUCUAAGAUUCAUGAAGACUCUGGGAUUUGGUCCUAGUCAUGCUUCCAAAAUCAUGGACAAUCAAGGAAGUUCAUUUAUGCUAACGAGGGGCUGAUGACCUAACUCGACUCAGUGCAGUCAUAGGAAGUGAGGCAUUUUCAUUUCACAAAUAAUGCUUGACCCCUGACUACCCCUCAUCUGGCACCACACUCAGCAGUGAAAUUACGAACGUUUGGUGCUUGACCUCAGGAGGCUCACAGCCUCCAAUUCGCACCGUGUUUAUCUCUGCGCUAAAAAUAAAUUUCAGAAAAAUUAUUUAAAACUAAUGGCGAUCUCUUUGGAAGAAAAAACCCUCACGUUAUUUACUGUGUUGUAAUUGCUAGUCUAUUCAUCUCUUCCCUCCACAAAUAUUUAUUCUUCACCUAAUAUAAUUCAACACUGUGCCAAAUCCUAGAGAUUAAGAGAUGAAUAGGAUGCCUUUUCUAUUACUGAGGGGGUGCACAGUCCCACCCACGGGUGAAACUUAUAACCACAACCUCUUUUGGACUUUUAGGAUGUGAACUGCCUUGUAGGUGGAAUUUGGGAACUUUUUUUGAAGCAGGUCCCACCAUCUGAAGGGAGGACGAAAAAUUUCGGUCUAUUUUAGACAAUGUCCCUUCUGUUCCUCCCAGCUGUGAGCAGUGUUCCCACUUCUUCAACCAAUACUUUCUGCCUGAGUCACAGAGAGGAGGAAAGAGCGGCCAAGAGCUAUUGAAAAAGCAGAUCAUGCAAGUGGCCUCUUUGCUUCGUCAAAAACCUCAGUACAAUUAUGGAAAAGGAGUAACAUGUAAACAUUGAGACAUUGACAGUAAAAACCAUGCAAAGCAUGACAAGGAAUUGUUUGCCUCUGGAUAAUUAAUGAUAAUAUUUACCUCUUAGAGCGAGCGGGAAGAAGGGAAAGGAAGUGGUUUGGUUUGAGUUGUAAUUUUGGGGGGAAAGCACAGUGUUCCUUAGAAACCUUUCCACUGGCCCCAUCUGAUAAAGAUGGCUCCCUUUAUUCAUGAAUAUUUUGAGGCGGAGACCUCCUAUGUAAGUAAACAUGACCAGGGCCAAAAUACAUAUGAGGGAGCAUCAAGUGGGAUGACAGACUGUCUAUAGUCAUGUUUAUGUUUGAGAAUAGGAGAUGAUGCUUCCAUGGCUAUGUAGGCUGCCUCCUAGAUAGUGUGGCCAAAGAAAUUAUGUCCUAAAGCUCACCUUUAUGAAAUUCAUUUUCUGUUUAGAAAAUUAUUUCUCCCUUGCUCAAAAGGUUUCUAAGGCUUUAUGUAGCUUAUUGAAUUAAUGUGUCUUACUCUAGUAUUCUCUUUCAUCAGAAAGUCCUCUCUUUCAUCAGAACCUUCCUGAACAAUAUUUUCCCUCAUGGUUUCCAAUUGUAAAACAAAACUAGACCAUCUAUGGUUCUCUGGUCUCCUUACCUUUAUUAUUGUCAUGAUGGAGCCUUGGAAGAAUGGAGUCCCAAAGGGCCACUUUUUAGAAUUAAAUUAUGUAUAAAACCUUGUGAUAUCAUGAUUUCUUAUUUGCUCAGUAUCUCUUAUAAGGUAAUCACAGAUAAAAUCUAAGGACCUUGCCAUUGGAGGAGUCUGAACAUACUCUUGUGGUAGAAAUAGGGUUUUCCCUAAAGGUAACUGGUAUUAGCGUGGCAAAUCAUCCUGAGAAAGGGUUGGAGCUCACUACAUAAUCUGCAGACCCAGUGCAAAAUGAAAAUGUGGGCCAUGAUCAGGGGUGAUGAAAUUGAUACUCCCUUUCCAUGGCCUAUUCCCCCAGACCCUGGCAGACAGGCAGAUGCCAAGAGAUGUCAAACUCUGCAUAGGGACAUGGCAAAAACUCCACUCCCAGACUCCCUUCCAGUCACCCCCAGGCACUUGCCAAAAUCUCUUUGGUGCUGCCUGUCUAGGUGUGGAUAUAUGGCUACUGCCUUGCCCAGCCCAGAAGACCAUCCUUACUAUCCUUUAAUCCAUGCCAGGACCCCUGGGGGCAAAAUUCAACUGCAGA
ensembl:lncRNA